rnacentral:rRNA from 1 species
GAAAGGCCACUUCGGUGGUACUCGAGCGGCGAACGGGUGAGUAACACGUGAGUAAUCUGCCCUUCACUUCGGGAUAGCCCUGGGAAACUGGGAUUAAUACCGGAUGCGACCAAUGCCUGCAUGGGUUGUUGGUGGAAAGUUUUUUCGGUGGAGGAUGUGCUCGCGGCCUGUCAGCUUGUUGGUGGGGUAAUGGCCUACCAAGGCUUCGACGGGUAGCCGGCCUGAGAGGGUGACCGGCCACACUGGGACUGAGACACGGCCCAGACUCCUACGGGAGGCAGCAGUGGGGAAUAUUGGACAAUGGGCGGAAGCCUGAUCCAGCAACGCCGCGUGAGGGAUGACGGCCUUCGGGUUGUAAACCUCUUUCAGCGGGGACGAAGCGAAAGUGACGGUACCCGCAGAAGAAGCACCGGCCAACUACGUGCCAGCAGCCGCGGUAAUACGUAGGGUGCGAGCGUUGUCCGGAAUUAUUGGGCGUAAAGGGCUCGUAGGCGGUUUGUCGCGUCGGGAGUGAAAACCAUGGGCUUAACUCAUGGCUUGCUUCCGAUACGGGCAGACUAGAGGCAUGCAGGGGAGAACGGAAUUCCUGGUGUAGCGGUGAAAUGCGCAGAUAUCAGGAGGAACACCGGUGGCGAAGGCGGUUCUCUGGGCAUGUCCUGACGCUGAGGAGCGAAAGUGUGGGGAGCGAACAGGAUUAGAUACCCUGGUAGUCCACACCGUAAACGUUGGGCGCUAGGUGUGGGAUCCAUUCCACGGGUUCCGUGCCGCAGCU